AACCGUGGAAAGAACUGAAAAUGGCAGCCAUGGAUGAGCUCCAUUCAGCCAAGCUUCUAUGGCUUAUAUUGAUGAUGAAAAUUGAGAUUUGGACCUAGAACGGAAAGAAAUCGAUUUAUGAACGAGUAUGUCUUUUCACCUUUGUGGUAUCGAGAGUUUCCAAGUUAGCUCGGGUGGGAGGCCGUCAGAGAUAUUAUCACCCUAUCGAGUUAACGUUAUCG